UUUGAAAUACGGACCAAGGAGUUUAUCGUGUACGCAAGUCAUUGGGUGAAUAAAACCCAAAGGCGAAAUGAAAGUAAAGAGUUGAGUAUAUUUAUAUAUCUCUCUUUAGGGAAGAUGAAAAUUUCAUUAGCAAUAUAUUAUACUUGUUAUAAUUGUUGUUAAUAUAAAUUUUCCGCACUCCCAGGGCGCUUGAUCAUGCUUUGCGUGUCGAUGCGCACCUAGAGCGUACACGCUGAUACCCGAAAGAUGGUGAACUAUGCCUGGCCAGGACGAAGCCAGGGGAAACCCUGGUGGAGGUCCGCAGCGAUUCUGACGUGCAAAUCGAUCGUCGGAGCUGGGUAUAGGGGCGAAAGACCAAUCGAACCAUCUAGUAGCUGGUUCCCUCUGAAGUUUCCCUCAGGAUAGCUUGCGCUCGGUUGAGACGAGUCUCAUCCGGUAGAGCGAAUGAUUAGAGGCAUUGGGGUCGAAACGACCUCAACCUAUUCUCAAACUCCAAAUAGAUGAGAACCCCGGCUUUCUUGAAAUUGAAGCCGUGGGAUUCGGAUCAGAGUGCCAAGUGGGCCAAUUUUGGUAA
rnacentral:rRNA from 1 species